rnacentral:rRNA from 1 species
UACGUAGGGAGCAAGCGUUGUCCGGAAUCAUUGGGCGUAAAGCGCGCGUAGGUGGUCCCGUAAGUCCGCUGUGAAAGUCAAAGGCUCAACCUUUGAAAGCCGGUGGAUACUGUGGGACUAGAGUACGGAAGAGGCGAGUGGAAUUCCUGGUGUAGCGGUGAAAUGCGCAGAUAUCAGGAGGAACACCAAUUGCGAAGGCAGCUCGCUGGGACGUUACUGACGCUGAGACGCGAAAGCGUGGGGAGCAAAACGG